rnacentral:rRNA from 1 species
AGUGGGGAAUAUUGCGCAAUGGGGGAAACCCUGACGCAGCGACGCCAUGUGAGGGAUGAAGGCUUUCGGGUCGUAAACCUCUGUCAGGAGGGAAGAAACUGUUUGGGGCUAAUACCCCCUUUCACUGACGGUACCUCCAGAGGAAGCACCGGCUAACUCCGUGCCAGCAGCCGCGGUAAUACGGAGGGUGCGAGCGUUAAUCGGAAUCACUGGGCGUAAAGCGCGCGUAGGCGGCCUGAUAAGUCAGGUGUGAAAGCCCUCGGCUCAACCGGGGAAUUGCACUUGAUACUGUCAAGCUUGAGUAUCGGAGAGGAUGGCGGAAUUCCAGGUGUAGGAGUGAAAUCCGUAGAUAUCUGGAGGAACACCAGUGGCGAAGGCGGCCAUCUGGACGAUAACUGACGCUGAGGUGCGAAAGCGUGGGGAGCAAA